rnacentral:rRNA from 1 species
GCUUUGGGAAAACCUCAUUUUGUGACUGCCGAUAUGGUAAAAGAAGGUGCGGUAGUGGUAGACGUCGGAAUCCACCGGAUACCUUCGGAUAAAACGAAGUCCGGUUUCCGCCUGGUGGGGGAUGUAGAUUUUGAAGGAGUAGCUCCUAAAUGUUCUUAUAUCACGCCUGUUCCGGGAAAAGUAAUCAACCGAGAUUCCGAAAGUAGUGGCGAGCGAAAUCGGAAGAGGCCAAACCGUACGUAGCAAUAUGUGCGGGGUUGUGGACGGCGAGAUCGGAAAGCUUCGUUAGACGAAUGGUCUGGGAAGGCCAGUCAAAGAGUGUGAGAGCCACGUAGUCGAAAAUGAAGUGAACGUAGCCGGAUCCAGAGUACCGCGGGGCACGAGGAAUCCCGUGGGAAGCCGGGGGGACCACCCUCCAAGCCAAAAUACUACCUGAUGACCGAUAGAGGAGCAGUACCGUGAGGGAAAGGUGAAAAGCACCCCGGGAGGGGAGUGAAAUAGUACCUGAAACCUUGUGCUUACAAGCAGACAUAGCCCGUUAAAGGGUGGUGUCGUACUUUUUGUAGAACGGUCCGGCGAGUUAUAGUAACUGGCGAGCUUAAGGUAUUCAGUACCGGAGGCGAAGGGAAACCGAGUGUGAAGAGCGCGUGAAGUCAGUUGCCAUAGACCCGAAACCAGGUGACCUAGCCAUGUCCAGGAUGAAGUGGAGGUAAAGCUCCAUGGAGGUCCGAACCCACGUACGUUGCAAUGUCCGGGGAUGAGGUGUGGCUAGCGGUGAAAUUCCAAACGAACUUGGAGAUAGCUGGUUCUCCCCGAAAUAGCUUUAGGGCUAGCGUAGGUAAUGAGUUUCACGGAGGUAAAGCACUGUCUGAGCUAGGGGGCGAUAAGCUUACUGAACUCUAACAAACUAAGAAUGCCGUAGAAAUGCUUACCUGCAGUCAGACUGCGAGUAAUAAAAUCCGUGGUCAAAAGGGAAACAGCCCAGACCCACAGCUAAGGUCCCAAAUAUACGCUAAGUGGAAAACGAUGUGAGAUUGCAUAAACAACCAGGAUGUUGGCUUAGAGGCAGCCACUCGUUCAAAGAGUGCGUAAUAGCUCACUGGUCGAGUGAUCUUGCGCGGAAAAUUUAACGGGGCUAAGCGUAUAACCGAAGCUUGGGAAUGUCGAAAGACAUUGGUAGGGGAGCGUCGUGUAUGGGGUGAAGUCGCAUCGGAAGGAGCGGUGGACUGUACACGAGUGAGAAUGCCGGAAUGAGUAGCGAGAAUUAUGUGGGAAUCAUAAUGGCCGAAAAUCUAAGGUUUCUUGGGGAAGGUUCGUCCGCCCAAGGUAAGUCGGGAGCUAAGCUCAGGCCGAGAGGCGUAGGCGAUGCACAUACGGUAGAAAUUCCGUAACCACCGAAACUUAAACAGAGGGACACUUCGAAAUAGCGGAACCCGGGCGUUGGUUGACCCGGGCGUAAGGGAGCGAAAUUAGAGUAGCGAAGUCCGCGAUGUUCGGAGGCGAGAAAAGCUCUGAGGUAUGCUAAGGUGCCCGUACCGCAAACCGACACAGGUAGAUGAGGAGAGAAUCCUAAGGCCAACGGGAGAAGGGUUGUUAAGGAACUCGGCAAAUUGACCCCGUAACUUCGGAAGAAGGGGAGCCCCCUACGGGGGGUCGCAGAGAAAUGGCCCAAGCAACUGUUUACCAAAAACACAGGUCUAUGCUAAAUCGAAAGAUGACGUAUAUGGGCUGACGCCUGCCCGGUGCCGGAAGGUUAAGAGGAGAUGUCAGGCAACGAAGCAUUGAAUUUAAGCCCCGGUAAACGGCGGCCGUAACUAUAACGGUCCUAAGGUAGCGAAAUUCCUUGUCAGGUAAGUUCUGACCCGC